UAAAACUUUAUUGAAAAUUUCGAUAUACAUGUACGUAUAAAAUUUCUAUAUUUAUAGAACAAUAUAAGAACGCGUGAAGAUGCACAUAUACAUAUAUACGUACAUAUAUAUAUAUAUAUAUAUAUAUAUAUAUAUAAAGAGAGAGAGAGAAAGACAGAGAUAUCCUAUAUUUAUAUUUUCCCUCUUCUAAGAAAGAGCUUCCCACUUACGUAUCUUUUUUUACUUUAUUUCCUUGUGUGAUCGAUAGUCGUUCGAUCGGCUCGGUAGAUUUCCGAAGUGCAGUCUCUCUCUCUCUCUCUCUCUCUCUCUCUUCUUCUUGAGAAACACUUCCAUCUUGAGACUGCUACAAGAGACCGAGCAAUGGCGAAGGAACAUAAUAAAAAAAAAAAAAAAAGAGGAAAAAAAAGAAGAAAAUAAAAAUAUAGGAAGGGAAAAAAGCGACACACCGUAGCUAUUAUCGAACAAUUUUCUUAUGCUCCGAUGGAACUUAAAGGUCUAAGAAGAAAGAACUAACGAAGCCUUGACACAGACAAGUGACAAGGAAGGAUAGAACAGUAGAACUGAAUAUAUACACACACACACACACACACACACACACACACACACACAGAAAGAGAGAGAGAGAGAGAGAGAGAAAGAAAGAGAGAGAAAGAGAGGAAGAGAAAAAUAGAAAAGGACGCAUGAAGGUGUACAAGACAGUAUCUCUCUUUGUCUAAUAUAACAGGUGCCACGCUUAUAAAUAACUAAACGUUCACUCAUAAUGUUUUCAAAAGAGACGUACCUAUUAUUAUGUAUUUUGCAGAAUACAUAGGCGAAUCGUUUCGUAAUACAGAUAUGUAAUUUGCCACAAAGAAAAAGCUCAUCGAUAUCUAGAAUUCGUUCUUUCUAAUACCGAAGAAGAGGCCAUUAAGGAGGUAUGACCUUUCAAGAGCAAGGGCUAAGGUCGAUGAAAGGGAAACAACGAUUAUCGUCCAAUGUAUGAGGGACCACCUGCGUUACUUAUCUUCCUUCGCAAUCUGGAUACUCCUUGUUUCAUAAAAUGAAAAUGCCGAGCUACGUGUUCGACGAUAUCUAAUAAAGAAAGAAAAAAAGAAAAAAAAAAUGAAGAAAAGAAAGGAGAAGAAAGUAAGAAGGAAAAAUAAAAAGCAUGAAAUCAAGGUCGAAUUUUCCAAACAAGUUGGAAGUCUAGCU